GAGUUUGAUCAUGGCUCAGAUUGAACGCUGGCGGAAUGCUUUACACAUGCAAGUCGAGCGGCAGCGCGGGGCAACCUGGCGGCGAGCGGCGAACGGGUGAGUAAUGCAUCGGAACAUGUCCAUGUCGUGGGGGAUAGCCCGGCGAAAGCCGGAUUAAUACCGCAUACGCCCGAGAGGGGAAAGCCGGGGACCGCAGGGCCUGGCGCGAUCGGGUUGGCCGAUGUCCGAUUAGCUAGUUGGCGGGGUAAGAGCCCACCAAGGCGAUGAUCGGUAGCUGGUCUGAGAGGAUGAUCAGCCACACUGGGACUGAGACACGGCCCAGACUCCUACGGGAGGCAGCAGUGGGGAAUUUUGGACAAUGGGGGAAACCCUGAUCCAGCCAUUCCGCGUGAGUGAAGAAGG
rnacentral:rRNA from 1 species